GGAAAAUCCGUCGACUUUUAAAAUCGUGAGGGUUCAAGUCCCUCUAUCCCCAAAAUUUUUUCACUCCCUAACUAGUUAUCUUUUUUUCAUUAUCAUUAAAGUCGGUUAUGGUCUUCCUUUCUUUUCCAAAUGGAUUGGGAUGGAAAUGUUUUUAUGAUAUCACAAGUCUUGUGUUGUGAUAUAUAUGAUAUACGCACAAAUAGAUAUCUUUGAGCAAGGAAUACUCAUUUGAGUGAUUCGUAAUCCAUAUCAGUACUUGUACUAAAACUUAUAGACGAAAUCGCUCUUUUUGAAAACCCAAGAAAUUCCGGUAUCCGGUAUCUAGAUAUAGAUAAGACUUUGUAAUACUUUUCGUUCUUUUUUUAUUUUUUAAUUGACAUAAACCCAAGUUAUCUUGUAAAAUGGGGAGAUAGUGCGCCAGAAAGGGGAAUGGUCGGGAUAG
rnacentral:tRNA from 1 species